UGGAGAUUUUAUGGCUCAAGUGAGACAGUUUAUUCCAGAGAGAAAGAACGGAGUGCCCUGUUGGUGUUGGCAUUUCUCUUCUUAGCUGCGUCAUUGUCAGUUGGAAUUAAGUCCAUAAUCUUCAUUAUCAAAGCAAGUGCAACCGAAGAGAUAUUAUCCCUGUAUGUCGUGGCAACCGUUGCAGUUAUAAUUAGUUUGAUACUCUUUGUAAGUAAACUUCACGUGGGAUACAAGCUCCAGAGUAAA